rnacentral:rRNA from 1 species
AUGAACGCUGGCGGCGUGCUUAACACAUGCAAGUCGAACGAAGCACUUUAUUUGAUUUCCUUCGGGACUGAUUAUUUUGUGACUGAGUGGCGGACGGGUGAGUAACGCGUGGGUAACCUGCCUUGUACAGGGGGAUAACAGUUGGAAACGGCUGCUAAUACCGCAUAAGCGCACGGCAUCGCAUGAUGCAGUGUGAAAAACUCCGGUGGUAUAAGAUGGACCCGCGUUGGAUUAGCUAGUUGGUGAGGUAACGGCCCACCAAGGCGACGAUCCAUAGCCGACCUGAGAGGGUGACCGGCCACAUUGGGACUGAGACACGGCCCAAACUCCUACGGGAGGCAGCAGUGGGAAUAUUGCACAAUGGGCGAAAGCCUGAUGCAGCGACGCCGCGUGAGCGAAGAAGUAUUUCGGUAUGUAAAGCUCUAUCAGCAGGGAAGAUAAUGACGGUACCUGACUAAGAAGCACCGGCUAAAUACGUG